CAGUAGCCGCGGUAAUACGUAGGUGGCAAGCGUUGUCCGGAAUUAUUGGGCGUAAAGGGCUCGCAGGCGGUUUCUUAAGUCUGAUGUGAAAGCCCCCGGCUCAACCGGGGAGGGUCAUUGGAAACUGGGAAACUUGAGUGCAGAAGAGGAGAGUGGAAUUCCACGUGUAGCGGUGAAAUGCGUAGAGAUGUGGAGGAACACCAGUGGCGAAGGCGACUCUCUGGUCUGUAACUGACGCUGAGGAGCGAAAGCGUGGGGAGCGAACAGGAUUAGAGACCCGCGUAGUCCCUGUCUCUUAUAA
rnacentral:rRNA from 1 species